GUGCUCACUUCUGGAGCACAUAUAUUAAAAUUAGAAUGAUUCAGAGAUUAGCAUAGCCCCUGUGCAAGAAUGACACACAAAUUCAUGAAGAAUUUCAUGUUUUU
ensembl:snRNA U6 U6 spliceosomal RNA